AUUGAACGCUGGCGGCAUGCUUUACACAUGCAAGUCGAACGGUAACAGGCCGCAAGGUGCUGACGAGUGGCGAACGGGUGAGUAAUGCAUCGGAACGUGCCCAGUCGUGGGGGAUAACGCAGCGAAAGCUGCGCUAAUACCGCAUACGAACUGUGGAUGAAAGCGGGGGACCGAAAGGCCCCGCGCGAUUGGAGCGGCCGAUGUCAGAUUAGGUAGUCGGGGGGGUAAAGGCCCACCAAGCCAACGAUCUGUAGCUGGUCUGAGAGGACGACCAGCCACACUGGGACUGAGACACGGCCCAGACUCCUACGGGAGGCAGCAGUGGGGAAUUUUGGACAAUGGGCGCAAGCCUGAUCCAGCAAUGCCGCGUGCAGGAAGAAGGCCUUCGGGUUGUAAACUGCUUUUGUACGGAACGAAACGGCUCUGGUUAAUACCUGGGGCUAAUGACGGUACCGUAAGAAUAAGCACCGGCUAACUACGUGCCAGCAGCCGCAGUAUAC
rnacentral:rRNA from 1 species